ACACAACAGAAGCCGUUCGGCCUGCUGCGUUCACGUCCUCGCCCUGCCCGUAUGUCCUGUUCGGCGUUCUCUUCGCCUUCGGCACCCAUGCGCUGCGACGUGUAUGAUGCACCUAUCACUGCCGUUGUGUGCUCUGGCGGUCGUGGUCAGGUGUACUUUGCCGCGGGCAACACUGUUCACUGCAGUCGGACGGAAUCGUUAGCCUGCAGUACAUCGGUGAGCGAGCCGCACGCUUCUUCCGCCAGUGGGCGCUUUGCCACAGCGCCGCCGGGCACAACCAUCAGCGCAAUCGACGUGGCGCACCCAUCGUCGCCACUGCCAAUCGUGUUCAUGGGUGCGGCAGAUCGCGUGCUUGCCCAGCGCGGCGCAGCUGCCGAUCCGUCAAGGUGCUCUUGCAGUAUCGUUCUCCAUGCCGACGAAGGCCGUGUCCUGCGCAUCGUAGUUGACGAGCGGAGAGGUGUCGUGCGUGUACUCACCGCCUCCAAUGAUUUGUUCUGCGGCGCUUUGGACAGUAUUGCGCAGGCGCUGCGCGCACAGCCGACCUCCAGCGACUACGACGUGUCAGCUCGCUGCGUGUUUGCACGCGUAAGCGGUCCGCGGCUAGGCGUUGUGCUCGCCGCGGAUUGUCUAGUGCAGCAUCCGCUCUUACCAGAGGGGCAUGAAGGUGGCCCCACUGCAGUGCUGGAAGGGAUGGUGUGUGCGUCAUGCCGGUUGUUUUCGGCCACGUACGCGGGCGAGGUUGUAGAGUGGGAGGCCGAAGAGCAGGAUUACUGUGCAAAAGCGGCGGGCACAGAGUCACAGCAGUCGCGCGGGCAGUGUGCGCGGUCGUGCUCUGUUGUGUCUCGCGUGCAGGCCCAUCCGAGCGGCUGCGCCAUCUUCGCAGUUCGCGUGAAGGCGACGUAUUCCAUGUUGUGCGGCACUGACAGUGCGCAGGACGGCGCCACAGCGCUCGCGCUCGUGCACCUCGUUACCUGCAGUGACGAUCGGUCUGUGGCGCUGUAUGAACGACGCCGUCCGAUAGCGUCCGCUGGCAACCACUUGGAAAGGAGAACAGAGCCGCAGGAAAGCGACUGGGUGCUGCUGUGGCGUGGGAGCGGUGCUGGUUUUGCCCGCAGUCGCAUUUUCGACGUCGCGCUGCACGCCGCAUCGUGGCCGUAUGCGACAAAGAGCCCUGCGCAGCCUUGGCGAAGCUGCAUGGUGUACGUUGGCGUUGCCGGCGAGGAUGGCGCCGUGCAGGUGGUCGAGGUGAACGCCAGGGAGGACGGCGACUUGGUUGCGUGGCCCUUGAGUCACCAGACUCAGUCUGAAUGCCGGAGGGCUUCUGCAACGCCUCGUCUCGUACGCCUUCAUCAGCACCGCGGCCACGGCGCGUAUCGCGUGGCCUUCUCCACCUCUUCACCAAAUUCCGUGACGCUCAUCUCUGGUGGCUUCGACGGUGCGGUGUUUGCCCACACACUACCGUCCGCGCUACGGCACCAGGCAUGCGAUGUGGGCAGAGCGGUGCAGCUGCGACCACACGACGUAAUGCUGCAACCUCCGAUUUUGGCGACUGCAAAGGUCUGCGACGGCAUGGCCAUCGAACGUGAGGAGGUGCUGCAGCCUCAUCCGUCAUCAAGCUCAUCGGCUAAGAAAACGGAUCAGGUGCGCGCGUUGCACGUGGACGGCAAUGGGCUUUUACUCGCCUGCACUAGCCGUGCCUUGUGUGUGCUGCGCGUCGAUGCAUCAGCGCGCAGCUGGUGGAUUGCGCUGCCAACGGUCGCUUCGCGACGGCGCUGUGGAGUGGCCGGGGAUGAGCCCGCCUUGGACUGGGGUGUGCCAGCAGCCUUGGAGAGCGCCGUCGCACGGUGCUGCGUAUCCUCUGUGAGAGGGUCGAAGCUUUCGUCCGUUGGGUGCGCCUUGAUCGGCACGACAGCUGGUGUCCUGUGCGCUGCACCAUACGGCUACACACACGCAGAACUCGGCAGCUCCUUUCCUGUGGCCUCGUUCGCGGCAGUGCACGCCAAACGGCCAGAUGCGGACGCGUUACCGUCAACGUCUGCUCUGCAGUCGUUUGGCAAAAUCACCAAAGUGUCUGCUCUUCACAUGCACGAAGGCAACUUGGGAGCCAUCACACACGCUUUUAGCGGUGAUGACGAUGCAACAGCACUCCGCUCCACUGGUGCCACCACAAGCGAGUUCGUUGUGGCGACGAAUCACGUACGCGGCACCAUUGUGCUCUCGAGGCUGCUGCUAACCUUGUGCAAUGUGUGCAGCAGUGGUGAGCGCGCUAUUGGGGUUGACCGGCCCGUUGGGCUUUGCGUGAGCGCUGUGUGGCACACGCUCAUCGUCUACAGUGACUGCCCGGGACCUCUCACGACGGCCUUGUCGCUGAUGCCGAUCCGCUGCGGCCGAUAUGAUGCGAGUGAGAGCAACUACGGCUGCUGCUGCUGUCUGGAGGGUAACGUGGCUCUUUCGCUCUGGCUUCUCGUUGGAGAUAGAAAUGGGUGCCUCUUGGGAACACGGUACGAGGUAAUGAACCGCGCCCUUGAGUCGGCGGCCAAUUCUCUUGAUUCUUACAAACUGCCCUUUGCUACCUCCCUGAAGGCGGUGGCCACGGUUCACCGCUACGUCUUUGCCGAGCACCUGCACACUGCCAUUUCUGCUCUCUGUGCCGAGAACUGCAGCUCUGCGACUUCUGUCGGUGGUGCGUGCGUGUCAUCGGACACGCUCAUCACAGUUGCUGGAACCGGUGGUGUGGUGGAAUAUGUGUACCUGCAUGCCUCGACCUCUUCGAGCAAGGCUGAAGCAGUGGGGUCGUCUCCGCUGCCAUCGCGCGCGAGGGAACCUUUGCGCCUUCCCUUUGAAGUCUCCUCUGUGCUCUCCGUGUCGCCGUGCAUGUGGGUGGUGCAGUGCGGCACAACUGUCUCGAUCCUUUAUCGCAUCCCGGGGCAAUCGUCGUGGGUGCCGGUGGGCAGCUGCGACGGGGUUCGUGCUCCACGGCUGCUGACCGCACGCGUCGUUGCCGCCUCUCCCGCCGGUAGCCCAAUGGCGUUCUUCGCGCACUGCUCCGACGGUCGAACCGUGGAGCGGAUGAUGGUGAAACCAGACCCCAACGUAUUGCUGCAUCCAGCACUUCCGCUCUGUGGUGCCCAAACGGCUCUUGUGCACGGGGUCGGCUUCCCAGGCAAGGACUACAACUGCGUGGCGUACGCACCAGCGCCACUUCACUGCCUUUUGAUGGGUAAUGAAGACAGCAGCGUCGCCUUGUAUCCGGUUCUGGCUGCGAGUGCUGGCAUGGGGGUGCCUAAUGCUCAUUCUUUGUUUGGUGGUCUUCUCACUCCGUUGAACGUGUGUGGUGCCCAUCACUCGAACAUCCUGGCGAUGGCCGUGCUUCCCCGCACCGAGGCGGAUGCGUUGCGGUUUGUUUCGGUGGGCAGUGGUGCCAUGGUGAACUUGUGGUCCGCUGGUCUGAUUGCCAGCCCCCUGCAGCUGUUGGACUGGUGGUGCGGCAGUGGCGCCCCGUCGCCACAAAACACCGCGACAUCGCCGCCGGAUGGCGCUCCGUCACCUGAUGGGAAGAGUGAAGGCGCGCCAUGUGAGCUUCGCAUCAACAGCGCGCGCUUCCAGAGGCGGCGUGAAAAGAGAGCUGUUGCGGCAUCCAUGUCUCUGACGCUUACAGACCGCAUCCCGCGAUUUAUGGCGGUGACGGCGUUGAGCUCGACGGACAUCGCUGUCGGCAGCAGCGACGGAACAGUUCUCUUCUUCCGCGUGCACGAAGACCGAGGCGCUGAGGGCGGAUCGCCGCAGCCAGCAGGAGCCACGCUGCAGCUGAGAUGGCAAGGGGUGCUGAACACAGAACGGCCGAAGCCGGUCAUGUGUAUAAGUAGCACACACGACGGUGGCCCAGACGCGUUGACACGCUCCGUAAACGCCGACCGCGCACCACGGUUGGUGGUUGCUGGCGACACGAAUGGAGUGGUGUACGCAGUCGACGCCGGAUCACACAUCGUACGCUCGCACACGCGAUUGGAGCAGUCGUGCGUGAAUGCGAUCAGCGAGCUGCAGCGGAUGCUGACCGUUUUGCCAUAUGAUGCAGACGCGGCAAGGCACCAGUGGCGGUUUGCGGCGUUGCAUGACUCUGGAGUUGUGCAUUUGAUGGCACUCGAGGUGACUGCGGCGCAAGGCGGGAGCAUUCGGACUGCUGAGCUGCGUCGGCUCUGCAGUGCGUCCACUGGCUUGACUGCAGGGAGGAGUGCGCAUUGGCCUGCGCUUUCACUACCGCUUGUUGUAGUCACCGAGGAGCGCAUCAUCGAGUUUGAUCCAGAGGCGGCGCAGCGCGGGAAAUUGCGUCUUUUGCGUACACAGCGAGUGAGUGUGCGCUGUGUGAGUGGGGCCGCUUUGGUGAGCGAGGCGUCCAGCAAUAAGCGGUUACCACCUCAAUCACGAGUGGCCGUCGUUGGCCAGGGGUUCGAGCUCGUUGGCUGAGAGAGGAAGGGGGAGCAAAAAAAUGAGGGGUCAUCGGUAUGGCCGAUGGCAAAGGUCAAGCGUCGGGUGAGCGAAGGAUGUCAUUGCUCCUCUGUGCCGCAGUCCGAGUAUGCGGCUAGGUAGCUGCUGCCCGCACGCGUAAGCCAGCACGCGAACGCACGCAGAUGCGCAUGUAUGUGUGCUGUGACUCCGUCAGCGUGGAUGCAAAGCAAACGCGGACGCUGUUGCGUGUGGUCGAGUGCGUUCUGAACUCACGACGCGUCUCACCUGCUUGUCGACAUAUUACUCUGUCUUCGGAACGUGGGGCCUCAUGGCGCGCGGCGGCGACGUCCUUGACCCCAGUCAGCCACGAUGUCGUCCGUUUGGCUCUUUGCUGUGGCUUUGGUGGGAGUCGAUGUGAAUCCUUGGCCACGUGCGCAGUUUGUGUGGCCCGCUGGGCCCGCUUUUUCCUUUC
rnacentral:misc_RNA from 1 species